rnacentral:ribozyme from 1 species
ACCCUGAUUCAUUCAGGGUAUUAGUAAUGUGGCCUAAGACAGUUGCAAGCCUGUUUGAAAAACACAGAGCACUAA